GGUGGGCCUUUGGACUCCGGACUAUCCCAGAACUAUGGCACUCACUGUCGGCCCUGAGCAAGACAGAGGCAGGCUGAUGACUGUGUUCCAAGACCCCCAUCUGUCACUCGGGGAUCUACCUGAUCUAGUUAGGAAAGAGGACCACACUCGGAGGUGGUCUCCACUUCCCCCUUACAAUCCUCAUACCGUGAAUCAGGCCUCCCUCCAAGCAGCCACAGGAUUCCAUCAGCACCCAGCGCUCCACGAGUGCGAUCCUCAGCUCCCUCAGCGGCCCUGAGUCACGCUGGGACACACGGACAGCUUAAGCCGCACAGACCGAACCCAGUCCUGCCCCUAAAAGAAUCCCCAAAAUGGAAGGAGACGGGGACAGGUGCCUUUUUCAGACUUCUAAUGGUGCAAGGAAUACUUGGGCCAGUGUCAGAAGACCUUAGUAAGUUUGCAGAUGGGUUUCAAAGCUUGGAAGAUGAAAAACAAUCCUAUAAUUGGUUGGGAGCUACACAGACAAGCGAUGUGGCUUACAAAGGGAAGGGAACACCCUGGACGGCCGCCUCCCUUCGACAGAGCCAAACUGGGACUGCAGUACUCAACGUGGACUAGAAAUGGUACCUAGCAUGCUGGCUGCUCUUAGCAGAGGGAUGAAAAGCUGCAUUAAAAAGUCUUUUAAUUAGGGCAAAGUGAGGGGUCUUACAAGGCACAGAAGAAAAUCCAGCUUUGUCUCCUACUGCCUAGCAGAGGCCUCCACGAGUGCACUAACACAGACCCACCUUCCGGAGGGAAGGGCCCUGAGGAACGACAGCUUGCCUGUAGUCAGCCCCAAAUACCCGGCAUAAAAACCUCAGAGGGGCCACGACGCCUCGGACCCACUGCUGGACGCCCCUUUUCUGUGUUCAACAGUUGGGUCUCGAAGGAGAGAUGGGACCAAAAGCUACGGUUACAGCUGCUGCAAUGGACAAUGCUUACAAACCACCCAGGCUGUCUGAGGGAGAACUCAGGGACAAUCAAAGCAAAGAUUCCUGUUUCAGGUGCCAAGGAGCUGGCCACUGGGCCCUGUUGUGAAUGUGAGGCAGCAAUACGCCUGGCCCUUGAAACUGGAGGUGGGGCUGUCCCCUGCUCCAGAGAGGCCAGGCCAGCAAGGACCUUCACUUCCUGCUCUGAGGCCAGAAGAGGCCAGGCACACCUGCAGUGCACCUGUCCAUGGACAUCACCAAGGAAACGAAGCAUGGAGGUCGGACCUGCUCCUCACUAAAGUUUCUUUCUCCUGUCAAACAGCAGCUCAAGGGCCACUGACCGCCUUCCCACAGCCCAGCCAAGCUGAUGGGAGAGCACACGAGCCCCAGGAAGGGCAGUGUGCAGUCCUUCCAGCCUGAAGCAAGCUGCAGAAGACAGAGACCUCCCCUCCCCACACUCCGUAAAGAUGCAUGGGACUUAGGUCUCUCUGGGGGAAAUGAUACAGAAGAGCGGGCGUGGCAAAACUGGGGGGGAGCAGGACCUGUCGAUCACAAGUCCUCAGGACACUGUUAGAUAACUCUCAGGCCGCAUGGAGAUCUCUCAGCUCCCUUAGUUCUAGAUGGCUUGAAAGAUCAGCUGCCUCCUCACACCACCAUAUCCAAGUCAGCAUUUGGAAAGAAUGGACACCCCACAAUAUCAGCAAAUCCUGUUUAAGGAGAACAGCCCAGUCGUUCCUUUGGGUCCUCACUGAGAACACUCUUCAGGACACUUUUGGUUUUGCGCAUAGAGAAGGCAAGGCAGUGUGUGAAUUUCUGUUUCCAAAAUAUCUUGGAAGAGAUAAUGGCCUGAGUUUUGAUCGGGGUUAUCAAAGCUCUCCACAGCAUGCAGUGAGGAGACCUGACCAUCUCAACAUGAGGACUUCUGAGAGUUCUCUGGUAACACUGAAGCCACCUUCUCCUCCUCUUAGAAUUUCUAGAGCAGGGUCAGUAGGAGCCCACGAAAGUGCUGGUUGUAUCUACUGGCUGUAAUCCUUCCUUACACAAUAGUCGGUGAGCUUAAUGUGUCCUUCUGAGUUCAAAAACACGCUGUGCAAUUUCAAGUUUCUAUACAGUAUCCAUCGCUCAUGAUAACUGAAAGCAAACUGAUUACUGCAGUACUCUGGAAUGUUCUUCAAGACUUAUACUUUGUUGCUGUAACAUUAGAACAUGAAACAUUAGAUUUCCUCCAUUUGCAUAGUCUUUAACAAGAAAUGGUCUGCUUCUGUCCAGAAUCAAGAAGGCAAGGAUGACUGAUGCCUGCUCCAAAGCAUGCUUCCCUGUCUGUACCUGGUCAGUGCUGACAAGCUCCUUUCAUUGCAUAAAUGCAAUUUGUCUUUUUCAACUGAACCAAGAGUACUCACUCCCACAUCAUUCCUCCUCCUAAUUCUUGAAGCAAAUCAAAGUCUUUAAAACUUAAUGAAACUCUGCCUCUCUCCCUGGGGUUUGCUGCCCUCUUUUUCCUCACCAGCGUGGUCCAAACUCUCAUGCCUUAAUAAUGAAGACUGACUGUCUAUGCAGGACCUGGAGGCAAGGAUGACUGAUCUGUCGGCAUCAUGGGUUCCAGUGGCAAAGAAUGCCGCUCACAUUCAAUGACAACAUUUGUGGCACUUCUUACAGUUGACAGACAGACUGUGGUCUGAGCUCCCAUUCAGUCUGUGUGGAUAGCCCAGUGCACAUGCCUGUUGAAAUGUUUGGCUAGGAAAGUAUGGCCCUCUGCAGAGAGAUGAAUUUCUUAUAGCUGAUGGAUUUAUCUUCACCUUGACCAGGUAUUUAGUGAUGUUCUAGUACACAAGGAGCUGUGUGAGAAUCCUUGUGUAGCUCAUAAAGCUUAAAGGCUUCUUCUAACCCUGUGAUACAGCACACUGAUCUUCCUCAUCUAUGCAUUUUGCGGUGAAAAGCUAUUCACUGUCAAAGAAUGCGUGUUUUAAACUCUAUUGCAAAGACCCUCGAAAGAGACAGAAGGUUCAAAAUGUAUUUUCUGGAUGUCUUUUCCCAUUACCAGGGCUUGUCCCCUGAAGGUGGAGCUCUCAGAGGUGCUCAUAAAGAAGGGACCACAGAAGGGCUAACGGACUGGGCGGGGGGAAGCUGACAUCAAGGGCUCCCCAAAGGAGGGCAGCCUGACCUCCUGCCCUGACCACACUGGCUAGAAUAGUGGCGGCUCAGCCAGGAUGGACGUAUACAGGCUUCUUGGUGUCUCUUGGGGUCUAGUAGCUGGGACUUUGGGCUCCCACCCUGGACUUUGGUGUCUCUGGGAUUUUGGUAGCUGGGUCUGAGAAAACCUGCAGACAGCUUGUGGGUGUCUCCGAGUGAUGGUCAGGCCUGGCAAGACUUGCCCUGGGCUUUUUUGCGUCACUAUGUUCUUGGUAAUUUGGCUUAGAGAAAAUGCAGUGGGUUCCUUUUUUCUGGGUGACUGGUGGUCUGUCUGGGGAGACUGGCCGUGGGCUGCUCCUGACAGGUGAGGAUUCGUACUGGGUGCCCUGAGGCAUCUGGAUGGAGUCAGUCAUCUUUACAGAUGCCUUUGCUGCGUGAGGUCCUGAGGCUGCCACCCCGACCUGGGGAAAAAGCAGCUCAGUGUGUUUGCUGCCGACUUUCUCUAGCCAAGUGAGUUUGGGAGGGUCGGCUGUCCCUAGAGAGCGAUGCCUGUUAACCAGGGCUCCAGGGUUUCUUUGGACCUGUGGCCAAGGAAGUGAAGUCAUGUCUUGGCUUUGUAAUGUGAGUCCUAUCUUGUUCUCUGUGCUAAACAAAUCAGUAGCUACUUCUUACUUUUACCUAAGUCUAUAGCUUUUGAUCAUCUUUCAGCAUAUCUGUCAUCUAUCUAAUUAUUAGUUUUUCACUCUUGCAGCCCUGGGGCUAGAACCCUGCAUCUUCACACUAAACUGCAUCCUCAGACUUUUUUUCAGAUACCCACUAAGGGUCUUCCUAAGUCACUAAAUUGGUCAGGUUGGCCUCUCGUCUGGGUCCCGCGGAACCCUGGGGUCACAGCCACAACCAUCUCUCCUGUUUCACCAUGCUGUUCAGAAGUAGCAAAAGAAAAAGCUAGGAAAGCUCUUAGUGAUGUUAGGUGUUAGGGUGGGCCACCGAGACUGGCCAGGUUUAAGCAACCUGAGAGGACUUCAUUACAGACUGGGUGCGGCCAGGCCAGGGUGGAAAGACCACUGGCCCCGAGCUGGGAACAAGAACACAUCUUCCAGGGGAGUGAGGUAGUGGAGGAAGCACUGCUGAAGAGGGCCUGGAAACUUUGGGCCAUUCUGGGGCUGGGACGGAGGGUAUCUCUGUGGCUUUUCUUUGGGACUAGCCAAUGGUGUGCGUCCCAUAAGUGUAGCUGUUUUUCUUGGAUUUGCAACUUUCUGCUAGCAGGUUUUCUUAUUGAGAAAUGUAGUAAGUGAGUAAGUAACUAACUUAGUUAGUUUGCUCUGCCAGGUUUCCUGUUGACAGACUUGGUAAGUGAGUUCCUUCCUUUCUGCUGUGUGGCCCAGUUUGCAGACCUGACAUCAGGCGUUGGCGAGGUUGUUUUAAAGCAGCACGCAUGUGUUGGCCACGUGCUGGCACAGUGCUGAGGGGCUUCCACACAGCAGUCAUCUUCUCCAAAGAUGCCGUGUGGGCUGAGAACUGUGGGACACUUUCCUUUCCUGAAAUGACCACAUCGUCAUUUCACUUAAGUAGAAAAUUUUAAGACAUUGUAGAAAUUUCUGCUACUGCAGAAAUCGAAAUGCUGGUUUCCAUUGCUACCUCUGGGUGGCGGGGAGAGAGCGGGUGAGGUGUGACAAAGCUGGCCGGGGAACAUACAGAACCUUAAGUGGGGUCAACCACAAGAUCCCAGGGCAGCACCAAAUGACUCCCAGGACCGCGUAUGUAGAACUUCUCAUGGGUUCCCACGAGGUGUGGCUGGCCUGAAAGAGCCAGGUACCAUGGAGAACCUGCUAUGGUGACCCCCACAGCAGGCCGCCUCGAGUCUCCUGGCCCAGGAGUUAUUUCUUGUUUGCUCUUCUCUUUUCCUCUUUUGUUCAGCCCAGGUUCAAUCUGCACCAGUUUCUCACUCACCCAUUCAUCCCAUGCUUUUCACAUAAACUUUGAGCAUCGUU